rnacentral:rRNA from 1 species
GAUGAACGCUGGCGGCGUGCCUCAUACAUGCAAGUCGAACGGGACUGAUCUUGUAUGGGCAACUAUAUAGGAUCAGUACAGUGGCGCACGGGUGAGUAACACGUAGGCAAUCUGCCUCUCGGUGUGGGAUAACGGUCUGAAAGGAUCGCUAAGACCACAUAACAAGCGGGCCCGCAUGGGACUGCUUUAAAAUACGGCCUCUAUUUAUAAGCCGCGCCGAGAGAUGAGCCUGCGCACCAUCAGCUAGUUGGCGGGGUAACGGCCCACCAAGGCUACGACGGUUAGCCGGCCUGAGAGGGUGAACGGCCACAUUGGGACUGAGACACGGCCCAGACUCCUACGGGAGGCAGCAGUAGGGAAUUUUCCGCAAUGGGCGAAAGCCUGACGGAGCAACGCCGCGUGCACGACGAA